AAGCCUCUAUUCUGUAGACUGUGUAUAGUUAGCUAAUGAUCAAAGACAAGCCUCUAUUAUGGCUAAUGAUCAAAGAUAACUAUGCACAGUCUACAGAAUAGAGGCUUG
rnacentral:pre_miRNA from 1 species